UGCCAGCAGCCGCGGUAAUACGAAGGGGGCUAGCGUUGUUCGGAAUUACUGGGCGUAAAGCGCACGUAGGCGGACUUUUAAGUCGGGUGUGAAAGCCCAGGGCUCAACCCUGGAACUGCAUUCGAAACUGGCAAACUGGAGUGUCGGAGAGGGUGGCAGAAUUCCCGGUGUAGAGGUGAAAUUCGUAGAGAUCGGGAGGAAUACCGGUGGCGAAGGCGGCCACCUGGAAGAUAACUGACGCUGAGACGCGAAAGCGUGGGGAGCAAACAGGAUUAGAUA
rnacentral:rRNA from 1 species